CUUGGUAAUAUCCAUUCAUCUUAUCCUUGAUUGGCCAUGGGGCCAAACACUAUAUGUUAUAUGAAUUGCAUGUCUAGCCCUUUGAAAACCCUGGAGACUUUAUUGCCUUUGUAGAUAUCUUCAGAUGUCUUCAGCAAAUCCUAGCAGACCUUCUCUGCUCACAGUUCUCUCUUAAAAGCCCUGAAAUUUAAUUAUGUCUUGAUUUCAAUUUCAAAAAUCGCUUUUGAAGGAUACUGUCUUAUCCAAAUAAAGCAGUAGGCUGUAUAAUGAGCUUAGUAUGUCUGCAUAGCUGUUUGGCACUAAAAAUUCCUUUCAAAGACAAUGACCACUAUUCUGACUAGGUACUUGUGUCCUGAAUUUCUCCCUCAUCAAAUAGUUCUUGGUAGGUACUAUUAAUAGACCAGUUUAUUUUAAAUGUCUGUGUCCAGCAAGAACAGAACAGUGUUCAAGAAGAGUGAAAUGGAUUAGAUGUUGAGCAUGUCUCUGUAUUCCUUCUUCCUUCUCUUCAUUUGCAUUCUUAAGUACUAGUUCUGUUGGGCAAAGGCUUCUCCAUCUGAAGUGAACAUGGACCCUUCGCUGCUAUGGUAGCGCAGAAUAACAGAAUAGUUGGGGUUGGAAGGGAGCUCUGUAGAUCACCUCAUCCAACCCUCCUUCUCAAGGAGGGUCAGCUAGAGCAGGUUGUCCAAGACCAUGUCCAACUGGGUUUUGAAUAUCUCCAGAGAAGGAGACUCCACAACCUUUCUGGGCAACCUGGUACAGUGCUCAGUCACCCUCACAGUGAAAAAGUGUUUUCUUGUGUUCAGACGGACCUUCCUGUUUCAGUUUGUGCCCAGUGCUUCUCAUCCUGUUACUGGGCACCACUGAGAAGAGUCUGGCCCUGUCCUCUUCACACCUUCCCAUCAGACAACUUACUAUACUGAAUUCUUCUUGGAUAAUGAAUUUUUGAAACAUUUUCAGCAUCACCCUGAGGCAAUAGCAGAAAUUACCUCCUCACCCGGCAUGUAUGACAAAUAACUAAAAUGGCUGGGAUACUACAUGUACCCUGCAAACCUGAAAGGCCUGCACAUUUCUAGCUUCUGAAAUACAAGUGACCACGUGAGUUAAGAGAGCUGCACUGGAGAAUAAGUGUUAUCAUCAUGAUGCACUGUUAAAGUUAUGGAAUAUGUCUUUAGGUAAGGAGGCAUGAACAAAUGAUAUGUGAAAAGCAAAUUGGAGUAACUAUAAGCUCUCCUAAUUCUUCCCUUUCUGCUUUAUUAGUCAUUGUAAACCUUCUGCUACCUAGGUUAUAACCUUGGGACUUUUUUUAUGAUGAGUGUAUUUGGAGUCAAAUUUUGUGUCCCAUAACUUUAACCAUAGCAUAUGUUAUUAAAAAUUAAUUUAAUAGUCCUCUAGGAUCCAACUCUGGAGGUAGCAAACAAGCAUCUCGGUUAUAUAUUGUCUUCAAUUAUUCAUUAAGAGCUAUGGGGAUUUUCUAGAACACAUCUCCAGCAAAGCUCAAAGCUGUUCUCCUAACGCCAGCAACAAAGCUCUGCUACUUAGUUUAACAGAAAUGGACAUGAUUUCCCUGUUGGGUUUCCCUGUUUGAACUGUGUAAUAUUUUAUCGCAUUUAAUAAAGUUUAUUACAAACGUGACUUGGUACA
ensembl:lncRNA